AGCAAUUCACGGACAAAGGACCUGGGGGUUUUAGUGACCGUAAAUUCAACCUGACCCUGGCUGGUCCUGCUCAGCUCCUUACCCAAAUCCUCCUGGCUUUGGUUUUGGGUCUCUGAAAACCAGCUCAUACUAGGAACUUUGAAGAAACUCAGGAAACAUUUCCCCUGGAGAAGAGACUGUGGCAAGCAUAAUGGGCAUCUCCAAAUGAAAGCAGAAGUAGACCUGUCCUGUGUUGCUCCAGGCGGGAGUAUUACAGCUAGAGAGGCCCCGUCAGCUGCCCAGCCCUGGCCCCGGCCCCAGGGAGGUGAAGCAAGUGUUGAAGUCACCGGAGGCGGGAGGCAACGGAUACCUCUCUGCAUCCCCCAUGGCAGCAGCAGUUCAGGAGGCCUGCAGCAAAUAUUUCUGGGUUACUUGGUGAAUUGGACA
rnacentral:lncRNA from 1 species